AUUGAACGCUGGCGGUAUGCUUAACACAUGCAAGUCGAACGGCAGCAUGGUCUAGCUUGCUAGACUGAUGGCGAGUGGCGGACGGGUGAGUAACGCGUAGGGAUAUGCCUUGAAGAGUGGGACAACUUGGGGAAACUCAAGCUAAUACCGCAUGUACUCGAGAGAGUAAAGCUGGAGACCUUUAGGCCUGGCGCUUUAAGAUUAGCCUGCGUCCGAUUAGCUAGUUGGUAGGGUAAAGGCCUACCAAGGCGACGAUCGGUAGCUGGUCUGAGAGGAUGAUCAGCCACACUGGAACUGAGAGACGGUCCAGACUCCUACGGGAGGCAGCAGUGGGGAAUAUUGGACAAUGGGGGGAACCCUGAUCCAGCAAUGCCGCGUGUGUGAAGAAGGCCUGAGGGUUGUAAAGCACUUUCAGUGGGGAGGAGGUUUGGAAGGUUAAGAGCUAUUCAAAUGGACGUUACCCACAGAAGAAGCACCGGCUAACUCCGUGCCAGCCGCCGCGGUAA
rnacentral:rRNA from 1 species